GACGAACGCUGGCGGCGUGCUUAACACAUGCAAGUCGAACGGAAAGGCCCUGCUUUUGUGGGCUGCUCGAGUGGCGAACGGGUGAGUAACACGUGAGUAACCUGCCCUUGACUUUGGGAUAACUUCAGGAAACUGGGGCUAAUACCGGAUAGGAGCUCCUGCUGCAUGGUGGGGGGUGGAAAGUUUCGGCGGUUGGGGAUGGGCUCGCGGCUUAUCAGCUUGUUGGUGGGGUAGUGGCUUACCAAGGCUUUGACGGGUAGCCGGCCUGAGAGGGUGACCGGCCACAUUGGGACUGAGAUACGGCCCAGACUCCUACGGGAGGCAGCAGUGGGGAAUAUUGCACAAUGGGCGGAAGCCUGAUGCAGCAACGCCGCGUGCGGGAUGACGGCCUUCGGGUUGUAAACCGCUUUCGCCUGUGACGAAGCGUGAGUGACGGUAACGGGUAAAGAAGCACCGGCUAACUACGUG
rnacentral:rRNA from 1 species